rnacentral:rRNA from 1 species
GACAGCAGCAGCCGCGGUAAUACAGAGGGUGCAAGCGUUAAUCGGAAUUACUGGGCGUAAAGCGCGCGUAGGUGGUUUGUUAAGUCGAAUGUGAAAUCCCCGGGCUCAACCUGGGAACUGCAUCCGAAACUGGCAAGCUAGAGUAUGGUAGAGGGUAGUGGAAUUUCCUGUGUAGCGGUGAAAUGCGUAGAUAUAGGAAGGAACACCAGUGGCGAAGGCGACUACCUGGACUGAUACUGACACUGAGGUGCGAAAGCGUGGGGAGCAAACAGGAUUAGAUACCCCGGUAGUCCCUGUCUCUUAUAC